rnacentral:rRNA from 1 species
UACGAAGGGGGCUAGCGUUGUUCGGAAUUACUGGGCGUAAAGCGCACGUAGGCGGACUAUUAAGUCAGGGGUGAAAUCCCGGGGCUCAACCCCGGAACUGCCUUUGAUACUGGUAGUCUCGAGUCCGGAAGAGGUGAGUGGAAUUCCGAGUGUAGAGGUGAAAUUCGUAGAUAUUCGGAGGAACACCAGUGGCGAAGGCGGCUCACUGGUCCGGUACUGACGCUGAGGUGCGAAAGCGUGGGGAGCAAAC